AGCAUUGUCAAUUACCUGAAAAUUUGUCUUGUCGUCAUUCAGUUUCGGCCGACGUCGGCGUUCAUCAAAUUUGGUCCAAUUAGUCCCGAAAUGGCCGCUCGACGUUGUAUUGAUGCAAAGUGAGUUGCCUCCAGAAAAGCCCGUUGGCUCGGCGAGCAGUUGGCGAGCUUGAAAGUCCACAAUUAUCGCUGGGCUCGACGACGCUGAUUGCUGACUUUCUCAACUGGCUGCGAGAUAGUUAGCCGGGCAGGCUUCGCUCAGUUCGAAAUAUUAUAUCCAUGGUAGAAGAGUGACGAGAAUGUCUGCAUCACAGUUUUGAGUUUCCGUGUUCUGGUAUGGGGUCCAGCCUCCCUGCGUGGCCUUCGCAUGAUCUCCGGGGCUUCUGCAGGUGCAGGCUCCCGCCAUUGCGGGUGGACCUCGCAGAUGGACACACUCCCAUGCCAGAAGCCAGACGCCGUCGGAUGGCUUUCUUCGCCUCUCACAUGACAUUUAGCAGCUCCCUUUCUCACCACCUUCCCUACGUCCUUAACACGUCCCAACCUUCCUUGCUCCCUUCAUUCCUUCAACCGUUGUUUCCAUCUUCCCGUCAUUCCCUACUUUCUUCCUUGUGCCUGUUUCCUGUUUUACUCCUUCCUUCCGUCUUUCCUUUCUUCCUAAAUUCGUCCCUGCCGACCGCUCCCUUAGUUUCCUCUUUUCCUCCCUCCUUACCUCCUUCCUGCCCUCUACCCUACCUUUCUUACUUCCUUCCCGUCUUCCUUUCCCUUUCUUUGUUCCAUCCGUCCUUCUCUCAUUUCCUGCUUCAUCUUGUGCCUCCGAAACACCACCCUGCCUUUUCUCACUUCCUUACUUUCCUCAUUACUUCCUACCGUGUCUCUCUCUCUCCUUUUAUUCUUACUUCCGUCCUUCUAUGCUUUCUCUCUCCCCCCUCCUCUCUUUCCUCCCAUCUUUCCUCUCCUACCUACCUUCCUUCCUUCUCUUCCUCACUCCGCUCUUCCUUCCUUCCUCCCUUCCUCGCUACCCUCUGGUUGAGGUGAAGGUGUUCACCCGAGUUGCGGUAGCGCACAAGUUCUUCUGAGGUCUUCGGCACUGAUUCGCGACUGGAUGUUGGCCACACUGCAAGCCGGAAUGUUCUUUUUCUUCGCUGCUGAUUUACGAUCUCAGCUUCAUGUGUGAGAGUCUCGCUGAAACAACACCAUUUCUUUCCCAAGACAUCCAAACACAUGCAACCAAUAAAGCAAGUCACUAUU